UUCCUGAUGUUUCAGAUGGUAAAAGAACCUGCCUGAAAUGCAGAAGACCCAGGUUCGAUCCCUGGGUUGGAAA
rnacentral:tRNA from 1 species